CGCAUGCGCCCAGCCGGCGGGCACGGCGCGCCAACUACGUCCUACCCUGGGAAGUGGGUGCGGGAGAAGCGCCAAGCCCGUUCGUGAGGGGCGGGUCAGGCCGGGUCGGAGACGCUGCGCAGGAAGGGAUGGGCACAGCGGGGAGCCCACAUCUGACUGCCUCCCUCCAGGAGCUGGGAACGUCAGACAGGAAGCUGUGUCACUGAUGACUAGCAGGCCCUGUCCUGCCUCCACUCUGCCCAUAUACAGACUACAGAAGAAUCUCACGAGCUUCCAAAGCUGUAGUGCUGGCACACACCAGAGUGUGGCACUCCGAGGGCUAGAUCAGCAUGCCAGAGACGACCAGGAAAGAGGAAGGGUGUUCCUGGGAGGGCUCCUGGCCUCGUGCACUCAUGGUGCUCACUGUGACUAGUCUGGUCCAAAGCUCUGUGGCCACACAGCUGCACGUGCUGUCAGCAUACCCACCUCAGCGUUAUCGUGAGAAUGAAGAGUUUCUGGCCGUGUGUACGGGUGUGCCCUCACAUGCCACGAAAUUGCUGUGAUUCCGUUAUACAUCGUCUGUAGCUGCCGACUAACAGCACCUGAGGAGCGCUGGGCUCAGGAAGGGCGUGAGCUGGCGGCACUGACUUCUGCCCAAGACAUGGGAAGGACUGUCUCACUGUUCUAAGUGAGGUGAUCAAACAUUUCAGGACCAGCUCAACAGAACCCACAUGGAAACCACUAGAAAGUGGCAAGAAGACAGAAAAACAGAGUUGUAUCUCCUGGCCUUGUGUGGUGCUGUCCUCACAGACUCAUGGGGAGACCCCUGCACACAGCCACAGCCCCUCUACAGAGAGGAAAGAGGCUGGAGGCUGGUGGAGGGGCUGGGCUUGGACGUGAGGAAGCUGGAGUGGAAGCUGUGGCUAUGCAGAAGGGUCAGUGUGGACACAGCAACUCACACAACCUGAGAGAGGACUCAGGUUUUUUUCUGUUUGUUUGAAUUUUUAUUUUUAUUGUAUGUGUAUGGAUGUUUUGCCUGUAAUUAUGUCUGUGCACCACAUGUGUGCAGUGCCUGUGGAGAAAAGAUCAGAUGCUCUGGUUCUGAUGAUUGUGAGCCACCAUGUAGAUGCUGGGAAUCAAACCCAGGUGUUCUGGAAGAGUAGCCAGUGCUCCUAACCAUUGGGUCAUAUCUCUAGCUCCUGGGGUUGGUUUUGAGCAUCACAAAAGUCCCCAAGGCCUCUGGAAGAGUGCAAUAAAAUGGGCCUAGCUUCCCGAAGAAAAAAACAGUGAGCAGGAGCUGCAGACUCAGGAGACCAAUUCCACUGCAAGUAGGCCACACUCAGCUACGAACUCAGGGUCUUUGGGCAGAACCAGGAGAGCUAAAGGCUUAACCUCAGCUGUAACUCCCCACAGGUCGGGGAGUCAGGAGGGAGAAUGAACCCCUAAUUCCCAGCAUUAGGGUCAGGAGAAAAAGGAAGACAGGGCUGUUUAUCUGAACUUGGGCCUGGCGUUCCUUAGGGGAAGCCAGAGCAGAGGGAGCAUAGCUCAGCUUGUCCACAAGCCCUCUGCCCUUGGUGCGAGGACAGGCCUCUGACCUAGACACUCAGAACUAGUGGUGGGAGGACUGGGCUGUCGUGGUCACUCCCAUCCCUGAAGCACCAGGUGAAGCAAAACAGGAAGCAGGUAGCGGUGAGGUUCUUCCGUCAACAAAAGCUCUUAAGACACAGCUACACCUGGGUGCACAUAUCCUUGAAUAAUGGGGUAAAGAGCUUCAGUGGACCCAGAUAACUGUGUCAAUACCUUUUGAGGAAAGACACAAGCUCAAGCUGGCCCUGAGGAGCCUGGCUCCAGAGCCAGGGCCUCCUCACUAGAGCAGCCCCCAACUCACCAAAGCUGCAGCUUCACCCUUCGGCCAUCUAGCAGAAUGGUGGUCGUCUUGUGGUCAAUUCCUGCAAAAGGGUUGAGGACAUCUUAGGUUUGAGAUGUAUUUCCUCAGUCAUGACCCAUGACAGAACAGUGAAGUAUGUGAAACUCUUGAGAGAGAAUAGGGUUCCUCAAUAGCUUCAAGUUCACAAGCAGGUAUGUGAGACCCUGACUGUAUAGCCUGGAGAUUCCCUUGAACCCCAGACCGACCUACCAGUGGAUAACCACUCAGAUUCAAGCACUCAGGCAUCCACGUUGGCUGCCACGAGCUCAGUGUCUGGGCACUUCCCAACUGGGUAUGCUGGGCCUUGGUCAUCCUCUACUGCUGUCUUGAGGAAAGGCACUGAGCCAGGGGGCGGGGCUGAUCCCACGGUGCCAACGACUUGGACCUUACGCUCUAAGUUCAGAGCCAUAGAUGGCCUGGUGGCUGGCGGAUUUGCUAUAGCUGUGGCCAGCAGGGUUUUGUAUCCUUUAUCUGUCCUUCCUUACCUCUCUGCCCUUGUUCUAGCUAUGAUGUACUGCCCUUGCGAGCUCAUAUCAGCUGUGCUAAGGGAACAGUCUGUCACACUAGGGAUAUGAAGGGAAUGCAUUGGGGGAGCAGACAGGAAGAUGCCAGCUCUGAGUUUGUGGCACAGGAAGGUAGGCUUGGGGAACAGCCUCAAGCCAAGUGACCACUACACUAUACAUUAUGCUAAACUUUUCUCUGUAAACUUUUCUCUCGUUUCAAGGGUGCAUGCCUGUGUGUAUGUCUGUGUGGUGUACAUACAUGUCUAUAUUUGUGCACGAGGAUGCCAGUACACAUGUGUCCAUCACGUGUAAAGGUCAGAAGCUAACCUCAGGUCAGUCUUUCCACUUAUUUUAAGAUUUUAUUUUUAGUGUCGUGGGGAUUGUGUAUGGGCUGUGGCAAUCAGGAAGGGUAGAGGACAGCGUCCAGGACUCGGGUCUCCAGGACUCGGGUCUCCACUCCUACCAUUGCAUGAGUCCCAGAGUUCAUACUCAGGUUGUCACUGUCACACCUGUCUCCUCCAAUGAAGCUGUGUGAGGGGAAGUAUCUGGACUUGGGGGGUCGUCACGCUUACAUGGAAAACAGUUUACCAGCUGAGCCCUUUGACCAGCCCCUCACAUUUUGUGUUUUAUUUUUACUACAUUCAUGGGCAAGAAUGCAUGCCACAGCAUCUGCGCACUUCUGUGGAAUUCAAAAGGCAGCCUCUCCUUCUACCUGUGGGUCCCAGGGGUCAAAUUCAGGUCCUUACUCCUGGUGGCAAGAGCCUUUACCUGCUGUCCUGUCUCAAUAGCCUCCUCAAGCUAUUACUUUUUGCUUUUCAUGACUGGGUUUCUCUGUGUAGCCUUGGCUGUCCUGGAACUCGCUCUGUAGAUCAGGCUGGCCUCUAACUCAGAGUUUCACCUGCCUCUGCUUCCUGAGUGCUGGGAUUAAAGGAGUGCACCAGCAUAUCCAGCUCAAACUUUUAUUUUAACGAACACACCUCUCCUCUAAGAGAAGAGAUGUUAAAGUGUGUGCUUGUGCUAGGUAGCUGCCCUUCCUGAGAGCUACAUCCCAGAUUCCUCCAAACUUUUGUGUUGGUUUGGCUUUUGAAACAAGGUCUCGUGUAGUCUAGGCUGGCCUCCAAUUAUCUAUGUAGCUAAAGAAGACCUUCCUCUCACUUCCACCUCCCAUGUACUGGGAUGACACGUAUGCACCAUCAUGCCAGGACCAAAAUCACCCUCCUUCAUACCAACAGAAACUGUUUUUCUGCUUCUCAAAGAAACCACCUGGUGGGGCUGGAGAGACGGCUCAUGGUGUAAGAGCACCGGCUGCUCUUCUAGAGAACCCAGGUUCAGUUUCUAGCACCCAGUUGUCAGCUCCCACCAUCUGUCACUGUAGUUCCUGGGGAUCCCGUGUCCCCUCCUAGCCUAUGCAGAGUUAAGCACACGGUGCACAUCCAUGCAAAACACUCAUCUACACACUGUUAACAAAGAAGAAACUCCCGAGCUGGUGUGCUGAUGCCUGCAGUCCCAUCGCUGCUCAGGCAGCACAGGGGAGGUCAGCAUUUCAUCAUCCUCACCCACAUAGCAAGUUUCAUGCUAGCGUGGGCUACCUGAGGCUCUUUGGAAAAAAAAGAAAAAAAAAAGAAUGAAACUGUGCGUUCACUUCUGGUGCCCCUGGAGGGUAGCCAGAUUUGGAGACCAGACCAUACCAAGAACUGAUGGGAGCAGAGCCCAGAAAAUGAGCCCAUUAGAAGAUGCCAGCAAGGAGCACACUGUUUGUGUCACAGACACCACAAAGUUUGUAACCCAUGCCACCACCAUUUGUUUUUGUUUUUGUUUGUUUGGUUGGUUUUGUUUUUCUUUGUUUUUUUUUUUUUUUUUUUUUUUUCAGAUAGGGUAUCAUCGUGUAACCUUGCUUAGCCUAGAACUUGCUUUAUAACCCAGGCUGGGCACAAACUCACAGAUUCAGGCCUGCUUCUGCCUCGCUAGUGCUGAGAUUCAAAGUAGUCCAGCCUGAAAAGUAGACCUUGUAUGAGUCAGGCAUACAACUUCGCCUUGCUUCCUUCAAUCUUCAACACUGAAGAAACGGCCUUGGAGCUCGGUUCCCUGAGGAAGUCUAGAGGUCUGGAUUUCCACUACAGGUCUGCAGUCCGAGAAAUGCUACAGCUGUGUCUCCAGGGUGCUGGGCACAGGAAGGCAGGAGAGAACCCGUGUAUGAGUUCCUUUAGGGAGCUCUUCUCCAGGUCUGCAGGUAACAGAUGUCCAAGAACUUGAGGUCUCCAUGCUCUGGUUCUGUUUAGACAGAACAGUGGUUGAACUCUUCCUGAACCCACCUAUGCAUUUCCCCAAUGUCAAAGACAGAUCCCCUAUCCUUGCCUUCUGUGACACAGCUCCUCCUUUUUCUGGUCCAACUCCCUUAUCCAGUCCUCAGCCCUCUCAGUCCAUGUCUCAGAGUAAGGCUCUGAGUCUCCAUCUGUCUCCUGUCAAGCUGACAUUCUGUCCAGAGGAGAUGGUCCAUCAUGCCAGUGGUCUGGUGACUCAAUGGAAAAAUGAAAUCCUAUUCUUAGAAACAACUCUGGUGUGUAGAGGAAUUUUAAUUUAGAACAUGGCUUCUCUGGCAAGAAGUCACAUCCAAAGAUGACCUAGGUCUGUGUGAUUCAGCUGGAAUGCAGACAGCAUGGGCUGUGGUGGCACACACCUUUAAUCCAGGAGACAGGCAAGCAGGUCUCUGAGUUCAAGGCCAGGCUGGUAUAGAGCAAGUUUUGGGUAAAGAAAGGCUUAGGUCCAGAUGUGUUGGUGCAGUUUUAUUCCCAAAUAAUGAAGACAUAGUUUGUAGAAGGAAGCAGCCACGUUUGAAAUUGAUGUCUAAUUGAGCGGCAGACAAAGUGAAGAAUCAGAGAAAGAUUUGACAGAAUAGGAUAUGUCCAACUCUCACGAGAAGAGGGAGGAAAAGGAAGCUACUUAAGAGAGCAGCACACACACACAGAGAGAGAGAGAGAGCAGGCAGUUUUACAGAGUGGUUGAAGAGAGACCAAACCAGAGAAUGAGAAGGAGCCAGAAGGUUAAAAACAGAUUGCUGGAGUUAGAGGCCAAACAGAGCAAUCCAGAGGAUGAAAAAAAGGCCAGAUUGAAUGUCAUCUGGGAGAGUAGUUUGGGCCAGAACAGCUGAGUUGAACCAGCCAGCAAGUGUUCAGAAAGAACUAGAAAGGGUGAGCAUAUUCAGCAGUAAGUUUCAGAGGCUGAAAACAUUCUAGGCCUAAACUGUAUGAAGGCUAGAGCUUCAGGGACUAGGCCUAGGUUAUCAGUUGAAUAAAAGUUACUUUUUGCACCUCUGUUCUUUUGGAGAUGACAAAUCAGGCAAAUAAAAGUUACUUUUA